GACGAACGCUGGCGGCGUGCUUAACACAUGCAAGUCGAACGGAAAGGCCCUGCUUUUGUGGGGUGCUCGAGUGGCGAACGGGGGAGUAACACGUGAGUAACCUGCCCUUGACUUUGGGAUAACUUCAGGAAACUGGGGCUAAUACCGGAUAGGAGCUCCUGCUGCAUGGUGGGGGUUGGAAAGUUUCGGCGGUUGGGGAUGGACUCGCGGCUUAUCAGCUUGUUGGUGGGGUAGUGGCUUACCAAGGCUUUGACGGGUAGCCGGCCUGAGAGGGUGACCGGCCACAUUGGGACUGAGAUACGGACCAGACUCCUACGGGCGGCAGCAGUGGGGAAUCUUGCACAAUGGGCGGAAGCCUGAUGCAGCAACCCCGCGUGCGGGAUGACGGCCUUCGGGUUGUAAACCGCUUUCGCCUGUGACGAAGCGUGCGUGACGGUAAUGGGUAAAGAAGCACCGGCUAACUACGUG
rnacentral:rRNA from 1 species